rnacentral:tRNA from 1 species
GGGGAAUUAGCUCAGCGGCAUAAGCACCUGCCUUGCAAGCAGGUGGUCAAUCCCCG